rnacentral:rRNA from 1 species
UACGUAGGGGGCAAGCGUUGUCCGGAUUUAUUGGGCGUAAAGAGCGUGUAGGCGGCCGCACAGGUCCGUUGUGAAAACUGGAGGCUUAACCUUCAGACGUCGAUGGAAACCGUGCGGCUAGAGUCCGGAAGAGGAGAAUGGAAUUCCUGGUGUAGCGGUGAAAUGCGCAGAUAUCAGGAAGAACACCCGUGGCUAAGGCGGUUCUCUAGUACGGUACUGACGCUGAGACGCGAAAGCUAGGGGAGCAAACGGG